UACGUAGGGGGAGAGCGUGUCGGCGUACUGGGGCGUAAAAGCGCACGCAGGCGGUCUGCUAAGUUUGGAGUGACAGUUGGUGCUUAACUGCCAAAGUGCUUUCGAAAAACUGACAGACUUUGAGGGCUUCAGAGGGGACACGAAUUCCGGGGUGGAGUGGUGAAAUGCGCAGAUAUCAGGAGGAACACCGGUGGCGAAGGCGGGGUCUCUGGGCCGAUACUG
rnacentral:rRNA from 1 species